rnacentral:rRNA from 1 species
GAGUUUGUAUCGUGGCUCAGAUUGAACGCUGGCGGCAUGCUUUACACAUGCAAGUCGAACGGCAGCACGGGGUUUUACCCUGGUGGCGAGUGGCGAACGGGUGAGGAAUACAUCGGAACGUGUCUAUAAGUGGGGAUAACGCAUCGAAAGAUGUGCUAAUACCGCAUAAUCUCUCAGGAGAAAAGCAGGGGAUCGCAAGACCUUGCGCUUUAGGAGCGGCCGAUGCCUGAUUAGCUUGUUGGUAAGGUAAAAGCUUACCAAGGCUUCGAUCAGUAGCUGGUCUGAGAGGACGACCAGCCACACUGGGACUGAGACACGGCCCAGACUCCUACGGGAGGCAGCAGU